GACGAACGCUGGCGGCGUGCUUAACACAUGCAAGUCGAACGGAAAGGCCCUGCUUUUGUGGGGUGCUCGAGUGGCGAACGGGUGAGUAACACGUGAGUAACCUGCCCUUGACUUUGGGAUAACUUCAGGAAACUGGGGCUAAUACCGGAUAGGAGCUCCUGCUGAAUGGUGGGGGUUGGAAAGUUUCGGCGGUUGGGGAUGGACUCGCGGCUUAUCAGCUUGUUGGUGGGGUAGUGGCUUAACAAGGCUUUGACGGGUAGCCGGACUGAGAUGGUGACCGGGCACAAUGGGACUGAGAUACGGCCCAGACUGCAACAGGAAGCAGCAGUAGAAAAUAUUGCACAAUGGGCAGGAGCCAGAUGCAGCAACGCCGCGUGCGGGAAGACGGCCUUCGAGUUGUAAACCGCUUUCGCGUGUGACGAAGCGUGAGUGACGGUAAUGGGUAAAGAAGCACCGGCUAACUACGUG
rnacentral:rRNA from 1 species